AUCCUCUUAACUCACGAGCAAAUAACGUUGUUGCAUGUUAAAAAGUUAGGAUAAACAGUUGGACCAAGAAACAGAAGAACUGAUGGGCUGAAGACACAAAGUGGGGCCCGGCUAUCGAAUGGAAAACAAAUAUAUAUAAGAAGGAAACAAGAUCAAACAACGUACGGUGCUGCUUUAGGGUUUCAUCAAGAUGGUUUUCGACGAGAAGGAGUCGGUGUGCGUAUAUCGAAUCGGCAAGGAGAAGAGGGUGUUCGUCUCUUCAAAUUGCAUCUGUGAGGAGGAGAGGAAGAGGCUGUCUCUAAUCGACAAGAAGGAGAAGGAGAAGGAGAGGAAGAGGAAGAGGCUGCUGCGGUUCUGUUCACUAGACAAGAUGAGUAUGAAGCCAGCAUAUAAGCGGAGGAAGAAGGUGAGGAGGUUCAAUGGCGAGUUAAAGGACAUGAAGAAGCUUAGUAGUAACGAUGAGGCUUUUCGUCUUUCAUACGCUUAGUGAAAUUAUAGACAUUAUUCGCUCACGGAAGACUCCUACUCCUAAGACAUAUCGGCAGUGGGAUGAGUACGCCAGAUCAUUCUAUCUUAAAAUGUGUACCUGCUUUGGUGUUGAUUAUCAGCAUUUAGAGGCCACUCCUCCUCAACAGGAGACCCACCCCGUGCCAAAAGGGAAGUCAUAUAUGGAUCGUUUAGCAGAGACUAGUGUGGGGUUUGUUUUGAGGACCCUCUCCUGGGCAGAAGGGAAGCAUUUUGAACCGAAAACGCACAUCGAGGAGACGGCCCCGUGCAAAUCAUCCAACCAGCAACAGAAGAGAUGUCAUGUGACGAGUUUCUAGAGCAGGUAGUGCGUAGACUUGAGAUUAGGCGCGCGACGUUGAUCCUUGACGGGGCAUUCGACUUGGUCUUUAUUCUCCUGGGACUGGACCCGACCGUAUUCCGUAUCAUUUGCAUUUGUUGCUUAAGGAAGCAGUUUAUAUCAUGAGCAACACGAAUGAUAAGAAAGAUUUGAAAAUGGUUGAAGAAAAAAUUUGCUUCUUUAUGACCUACUUUCAUUCUCAUGUGCCAUCUUCGUUUAGAUACAAUCGGCGCAUGGCCAGUUACAACGUUGACUUCUAUCACAGCACGCGUGAGCCUAGAUACAUGCUGGACGGUUACACCCUUUACCCCUAUAUUCUAUCCUUUCUCAUGUGGGGGUGGGAUCCGAGGGCCCGUCUCUCGCCACAAGAGAUGGUUGAUAUUAUGAAUAUUAUCCACCCACGGAAGACACCUACAUUUUGGGGGAUGAGUCCUGAGGAGAUAUCAUUCUAUUAUAAACUAUGUUCCUGCUUUCGGAUUGAAUACCAUCAUUUAGAGGGCGCUCCUGAGGAUGCUGUGUGUUUGAUGAAUGUGAGACGAAACUAAAGGCUAGCUUCUAUAAGUGAAAACUCAGGGUAAAAAGAUGGACGGAGAAACAGAAGAAGUAAUGGGCUGAAGACACAAAGUGGGGUGACCCGACCUUUGCCAGAAGGGAUGUCAUUUGACGAACAUUUAGCACGGACUAGUGUGGGGUUUGUUUUGAGGACCCUCUCCUGGGCAGAUGGGGAGCAUUUUGAACCGAAAAAGCAUAUGGACGAUACGGGCCCUAUCCAAAUCAUCCAACCAGCGACAGAAGAGAUGACGCGUAUGUACAUCAGGUAGGGUGUACACUUGAGAUUACUCCCUCGUUGUCGAUCCUCAACGGGGGUUUGACUUCGGUUUUUAUUCACCUGGGACUGGACCCGAGCGUGUUCCAUAUCAUUUGUAUUUGUUGCUCAAGGAAGCAGGUUAUAUCAUGAGCAACACUAAUGAUGAGAAAGAUUUGAAAAUGAUUGAAGAAAAAAUUUGCUUCUUUAUGACCUACUUUCACUCUCAUGUGCCAUCUUCGUUUAGAUACAAGUGGCCCAUGGCCAGUUACGACGUUGACUCCUAUCACAGCACGCGUGAGCCUAGAUACGAGGUUGGCGGUUACACCCUUUACCGUUUUGGCCCCUUACUCAUGUGGGGGUGGGAUCCGAGGACCCGUCUCACGCCACAAUGGAUGGUUGAUAUUAUGAAUAUUAUCCACUCACGGAAGACACCUUCAUUUUGGGGGAUGAGCUCAGAGGAGAUAUCAUUCUAUUGUAAACUAUGUUCCUGCUUUCGGAUUGAAGACGAUCGUUUAGAGGGCGCUUCUGAGGAUGAUGUGUGUUUGAUGAAUAUGAGACAAAACUAAAGACUAGCUUCUAUAAUUCAAAACGUACGCCUAGCUUCUAAUCUUUAAUUUGAAACAAUGUCCUUUGAUGUUAAUUUGUUCUUGUCUAGAUUA